rnacentral:rRNA from 1 species
GGAGGGUAAGAGGUACGUACAGGGGUAGGAGUGAAAUCUUGUAAUCCCUGUGGGACCACCUGUGGCGAAGGCGUCUUACCAGAACGGGUUCGACGGUGAGGGACGAAAGCUGGGGGCACGAACCGGAUUAGAUACCCGGGUAGUCCCAGCCGUAAACGAUGCUCGCUAGGUGUCAGGCAUGGCGCGACCGUGUCUGGUGCCGCAGGGAAGCCGUGAAGCGAGCCACCUGGGAAGUACGGCCGCAAGGCUGAAACUUAAAGGAAUUGGCGGGGGAGCACAACAACGGGUGGAGCCCUGCGGUUUAAUUGGACUCAACGCCGGACAACUCACCGGGGGCGACAGCAAUAUGUAGGCCAAGCUGAAGACUUUGCCUGAAUCGCUGAGUAGUGGUGCAUGG